UACGUAGGGAGCAAGCGUUGUUCGGAUUUACUGGGCGUAAAGGGCGCGUAGGCGGCGUGGCAAGUCACUUGUGAAAUCUCCGGGCUUAACUCGGAACGGUCAAGUGAUACUGCUGUGCUAGAGUGCGGAAGGGGCAACUGGAAUUCUUGGUGUAGCGGUGAAAUGCGUAGAUAUCAAGAGGAACACCUGCGGCGAAGGCGGGUUGCUGGGCCGACACUGACGCUGAGGCGCGAAAGCUAGGGGAGCGAACGGG
rnacentral:rRNA from 1 species